UUUUGCAGACACAUUCAGUGAAGAUUUGUUCUCAGGUUGAUCUGUGCAAUUUUGAUGGCACUCAUGGUGUCAAGUGAGGACUGGUUAGGAUCCUUGAACUAGCAGGAGAGACUGUCAUGCUAGCUUCUGGUACUGCCAUUGGAUAUGGUUCAACAUUGACUAUGACUGAUACAUCGAACAAGAUUAAGAAGAGGACAAAAGGAGAUGUUUCUGUACUGAAUCCUACUCUUAUAAUUUCAGUUCCUGCAAUUUUGGAUCGUAUCAGAGAUGCAGUGUUUAAGAAAGUUGGUGAGAAGGGUGGCCU